UGGGGAAUAUUGCACAAUGGGCGCAAGCCUGAUGCAGCCAUGCCGCGUGUAUGAAGAAGGCCCUAGGGUUGUAAAGUACUUUCAGUCGGGAGGAAGGCGUUGAUGCUAAUAUCAUCAACGAUUGACGUUACCGACAGAAGAAGCACCGGCUAACUCCGUGCCAGCAGCCGCGGUAAUACGGAGGGUGCAAGCGUUAAUCGGAAUUACUGGGCGUAAAGCGCACGCAGGCGGUUGAUUAAGUUAGAUGUGAAAUCCCCGGGCUUAACCUGGGAAUGGCAUCUAAGACUGGUCAGCUAGAGUCUUGUAGAGGGGGGUAGAAUUCCAUGUGUAGCGGUGAAAUGCGUAGAGAUGUGGAGGAAUACCGGUGGCGAAGGCGGCCCCCUGGACAAAGACUGACGCU
rnacentral:rRNA from 1 species